UGUCACCCAUUCACUGCAGGGGAUCCACUGGUUAGCAAGAGAUGUAUUUCUACAUUUCUCCAAAUCUAUUCCACUGAAGAAAUAAACUCUACAUCUUGGAUAACCUGUGGGGCCAGUGAGGGAAAGAGAGUUUCAGUGGAGGAAAUCCUGCCAUCAUCUGAGACCCAGUCCCCCAUGAGAAAUGAUUCCUGGCACGCUUGCUGGGACCAGAGGCUGGAGAUAUAUGCUCAUACUGUAAUUACGGGAUGUAUGGAGCAUGACCUGUCAGACUGAGGGAAGUGCCUUGAUCGCUCCUUCAUCCUU
rnacentral:lncRNA from 1 species